rnacentral:rRNA from 1 species
CACGCCUUGUCAUCUUUAUAUCUCCACCUGUGCACCUUUUGUAGGCCUUCCAGGUCUAUGUUGCUUUUUCAUUUACCCCAAUGUAUGUUAAUAGAAUGUUGUGCAUAUAAAAAUCUAUACAACUUUCAGCAACGGAUCUCUUGGCUCUCGCAUCGAUGAAGAACGCAGCGAAAUGCGAUAAGUAAUGUGAAUUGCAGAAUUCAGUGAAUCAUCGAAUCUUUGAACGCACCUUGCGCUCCUUGGUAUUCCGAGGAGCAUGCCUGUUUGAGUGUCAUUAAUAUAUAUCAAUCUUCUCAUUUAUGAGUGGUUUGGAUGUGGGGGUUUGCUGGCCUCUUAAAUGGGUUCAGCUCCUCUGAAAUGCAUUAGCAGAACAACCUUGUUCAUUGGCGUGAUAACUAUCUACGCUAUUGAAUGUGAGGGAUGGUUCAGCUUUCUAACAGUCCUUGGACAACUUAUCAUUUAUGUGACCUCAAAUCAGGUAGGACUACCCGCUGAACUUAAGCAU